rnacentral:pre_miRNA from 1 species
GCUAACGUUUGACUGUUCGUCUUAUAUGAAAUUUUUUUAUAAUUAGUAUUUUCAUUGUUGUUAGACGAUAAAACAUGAUUAAUACUUUACGCGUGACUUAUCUUUUUAAUUUUUUUCAAAUAUGACGAACGGUCAAACGUUGAACACGAAAA